rnacentral:snRNA from 1 species
ACUGUUAACACAAAAUAAACUCU